rnacentral:rRNA from 1 species
UAAUACGAACCGUCCAAACGUUAUUCGGAAUCAUUGGGCUUAAAGGGUGCGUAGGCGGCGUGGUCAGUUGGGUGUGAAAUCCCUCGGCUCAACCGAGGAACUGCGCCCAAUACUGCCACACUCGAGGGAGACAGAGGUAAGCGGAACUGAUGGUGGAGCGGUGAAAUGCGUUGAUAUCAUCAGGAACACCAGUGGCGAAGGCGGCUUACUGGGUCUCUUCUGACGCUGAGGCACGAAAGCUAGGGGAGCGAACGGGAUUAGAUACCCCGGUAGUCCUAGCUGUAAACGAUGAGCACUUGAUCGGAGACUCCUCCAUAGGUUUCCGGUCGUAGCGAAAGUGCUAAGUGCUCCGCCUGGGGAGUAUGGUCGCAAGGCUG